GGCGGGAGUAACUAUGACUCUCUUAAGGUA
rnacentral:piRNA from 9 species